CCUACGGGAGGCAGCAGUGGGGAAUAUUGCGCAAUGGGCGAAAGCCUGACGCAGCGACGCCGCGUGAGGGAUGAAGGUCUUCGGAUUGUAAACCUCUGUCAGCAGGGAAGAACGGUCACUGUGCUAAUCAGCAGUGAAUUGACGGUACCUGCAAAGGAAGCACCGGCUAACUCCGUGCCAGCAGCCGCGGUAAUACGGGGGGUGCAAGCGUUGUCCGGAAGUAUUGGGCGUAAAGAGUUCGUAGGCGGCACGUAAAGUCUGGUGUUAAAGGCAGAGGCUCAACUUCUGUACGGCACUGGAUACUUGCGAGCUAGAAUGCGGUAGAGGUAAAGGGAAUUCCUGGUGUAGCGGUGAAAUGCUUAGAUAUCAGGAGGAACAUCGGUGGCGAAGGCGCUUUACUGGGCCGUAAUUGACGCUGAGGAACGAAAGCCAGGGGAGCAAAUGGGAUUAGAUACCCUUGUAGUC
rnacentral:rRNA from 1 species